GACGAACGCUGGCGGCGUGCUUAACACAUGCAAGUCGAACGAUGAAGCCGGAGCUUGCUCUGGUGAAUUAGUGGCGAACGGGUGAGUAACACGUGAGUAACCUGCCCUUGACUCUGGGAUAACUGCGGGAAACUGUAGCUAAUACCGGAUACGACCCUCGGAGGCAUCUCCUGGGGGUGGAAAGAAUUUCGGUCAAGGAUGGACUCGCGGCCUAUCAGCUAGUUGGUGAGGUAAAGGCUCACCAAGGCGACGACGGGUAGCCGGCCUGAGAGGGUGACCGGCCACACUGGGACUGAGAUACGGCCCAGACUCCUACGGGAGGCAGCAGUGGGGAAUAUUGCACAAUGGGCGCAAGCCUGAUGCAGCGACGCCGCGUGAGGGAUGACGGCCUUCGGGUUGUAAACCCCUGUUGCCCGGGACGAACUUCUCCUUUCGAGGAGAUUGACGGUACCGGGUGAGGAAGCACCGGCUAACUCUGUGCCAGCCGCCGCAGUAA
rnacentral:rRNA from 1 species